rnacentral:miRNA from 1 species
AUAAGUUUCUGGAAUUGUAGC